rnacentral:lncRNA from 1 species
AUAUCAAUCUACGGGAACUAUCACGUCUUAAUAAUUCCUUCCUUGAAACUGUGGGAACUUUUAAAAAUCAAUCGAACAAUGAAACCAACAUUUAUGGUGAAGAGAUGCACACCAUGUUAGAAUCUCUUUCUUCGAAAACAAAGGAAUUCAUCGUUGCUGAAGAUAAAAGGAAAAGUGCUCAUGAAUUAAUGCAGUACACUAUACAUCAAGAACAAAAACGAUUCAACCAAUCAUUUGACCGUUUUUUGGGAAAACACAAAACACGCC